rnacentral:rRNA from 1 species
AUUGAACGCUGGCUGCAGGCCUAACACAUUAACGUAGAGCGAGCGGUGGACGGGAGAGUAAUGGUUGGUAAACUGCCUGAUGGAGGGGGAUAACUACGGGCAACGGUAGUUAAUACCGCAUACAAUAAGAUGUGCCCAGAUGGGAUUAGCUAGUAGGUGGGGUAAAGGCUCGCCUAGGCCACGAGCCUUAGCUGGUCUGAGAGGAUGACCAGCCACACUGGAAGUGAGACACGGUCCAGACUCCUACGUGAGGCAGCAGUGGGGAAUAUUGCGCAAUGGGCGCAAGCCUGAUGCAGCCAUGCCGCGUGUAUGAAGAAGGCCUUCGGGUUGUAAAGUACUUUCAGCGUGGAGGCGUUACCCGCAGAAGAAGCACCGGCUAACUCCGUGCCAGCAGCCGCGGUAAUAC